GAUGAACGCUAGCGGCAGGCUUAACACAUGCAAGUCGAGGGGUAACAGGAGAAAGCUUGCUUUCUCGCUGACGACCGGCGAACGGGUGCGUAACACGUAUGCAACCUACCCUUAACAGGAAGAUAGCCCAGAGAAAUCUGGAUUAAUACUCCAUAAUAUCUCAUUUUCACAUGGUUAUGAGAUUAAAGCUCCGGCGGUUAAGGAUGGGCAUGCGUCCCAUUAGUUUGUUGGUGAGGUAACGGCUCACCAAGACUACGAUGGGUAGGGGGUCUGAGAGGAUGAUCCCCCACACUGGUACUGAGACACGGACCAGACUCCUACGGGAGGCAGCAGUGAGGAAUAUUGCGCAAUGGAGGAAACUCUGACGCAGCCAUGCCGCGUGCAGGAAGACGGCCCUACGGGUUGUAAACUGCUUUUAUGUGGGAAGAAACCCUGCUA
rnacentral:rRNA from 1 species